rnacentral:rRNA from 1 species
UACGGGGGGGGCAAGCGUUGUUCGGAAUUACUGGGCGUAAAGGGCUCGUAGGUGGCCAACUAAGUCAGACGUGAAAUCCCCAGGCUUAACCUGGGAACUGCGUCUGAUACUGGAUGGCUUGAAUUCGGGAGAGGGAUGCAGAAUUCCAGGUGUAGCGGUGAAAUGACGUAGAUAUCUGGAGGAAUACCGGUGGCGAAGGCGGCAUCCUGGACCGAGAUUGACACUGAUGAGCGAAAGCCAGGGGAGCAAACGGG